UCCGUUCCUCCCAAACCUCUCCAGGUUCCUCCAUCUUCUCAUUUCACUUGUUGUGUUUCUUCGUCUUCUUUAAUUCUUAUUGAUGUGUCGAUUCAAACUUAUUUAUUUAUUGACCGUAAUAUGUUCAAUUUAUGUGUGUGCGUGACUAUGAAGCUUUUCUUUGCUUUUAGGUAUGCCAAAUUUAUAAUGUUGCCCAACAUUUUGUUUCAAUUUUAUCGAUUAUUAAGUUAAUGAUCCUCAUUGGUGGUGUGGAAGUAAAAACUGACAUGAAGAAAAUUGAGGAACAAGGAGCAAACAUCUUGAUCAGCACGCCUGUUGAAGUGUUUAUGCUCUGCUACUCAAACUUCGGUAUGUUUUUCUUUUACUUUUUCAAUGUUUGGCUUGAAUUGAAUCCCUGUUUCCAGAUUCUUUUUAUGUUUGGAUCACAUGAUUUGCAAUUGCAAACUGGACAUGUUUUCCUCUAGAGCUUAAUCUGGAUUAUUUAUAAUAUCAUUUAUGCCUUGUAUUUUGGCUUCAGGCAGUAGAGAUUGGUCAUACUUCAGCAUUACAUUAAGGUUUUUUGAAGUGACUUCCUUGAAAAAUACACUAGAAUUGGUUAUAAGGUCAAUUUUGUAUGUUGAAAAAUACACUAUAAUUGGUUAUUGUGAUAGAUACACUGUUCUUUUGCUCUCCCACCAUGCAUUCUUGAUAUUUAGAUCAAGUGUGUUGUCAUGUUGUAGUUGUAAUUUAUAUGAGUUUGUAAUCAAUUUUAUUAUUUUGUUUUGUAGGAAUGGUAGAGAUUAAGAUGUGAACUGAUUAUGCAAGUGAAGAGCCUAAUUUGUGCCAAUGGAUGCAAGAGGAUAAAGAACUGUCUACUCAUGGCCAUUAUCUUUACUACGAAAUUUGAAGAAAUGGAUAAAGAACUUUAUUUGGUCAGGGGAUAUCACUCAAAGGAAGCUGGUAAUUGUUAGUUGGAAAAAUGUUUGCAAGCCUUUUAAUCAUGGUGGUCUAGNNNNNNNNNNNNNNNNNNNNNNNNNNNNNNNNNNNNNNNN
rnacentral:lncRNA from 1 species